rnacentral:lncRNA from 1 species
CCGUAAGAACCCUGACCUCCGAGACCAGGAUCGAAAUCUGCUCAACCAAAUUGGCAACCUCGGCCUCCGCCUUUCUCACCGUCUCCUCUGAGGUCUGCUUCUCUUCCUCCCGGGCCUGUUUCUCUCUUUUCAGGGCCUCUUGGAGGGUGAUUACCUCGGCUGCCUUCUCUUCGAGAUGGGUGAUUCCGACCCGACGAUGC